rnacentral:lncRNA from 1 species
CUAAAACUCCGCAAUCAGGCGCAUGUUCCACUCCUUCUAAAACUGAAGCUUUUUGGAAGCUUUUUCAGGCAUCACUCUUUAUUUUAAUUAUUUACCUGAAUGCAUUUUAUCUCACGCGCGUGUUUAUGUUGUUGUCGUCUCUCACAUGACACUGCUCUCUGUUUGUAGGCUACAGUGGGACGCACUGUAAUAUUUAUUCAUUUUGAUCCCUGGACUAGAGCACGAUUUAACGGGGCCUGAAGACAACACAGCCUCACGCAGGCUCAGCAACACACAGGUUACCACCCCAACAGGACACACCACGCCACCCGGCGGGCUGAGUUGUCACGCACGACACGUGUGUGUGUGUGUGUGUGUGUGUGUGUGUGUGUGUGUGUGUGUGUGUGUGUGUGUGUGUGUGUGUGUGUGUGUGUGUGUGUAUGUGUGUGUGUGUGUAAGCCACAGGAGGUUGGUGGUACCUUAAUUGGGGAGGACGGGCUCGUGGUAAGAGCUGGAGUGGAAUCAUGGUUUCCAUGUGUUUGAUUCCAUUCCAUUCGCUUCGUUCCAGCCAUUAUUAUGAGCCGUUCUCCCCUUAGUAGCCUCCACUGGCAUAAGCAUGUUGCCCCCCGCCGAAUGUCCAUCCAUCUUGCUUCUCCCCCUCAGCCCACCCAUCCUUCCUCUCUACCUAUCCACCCUUUCAUCCUCUAUCUCUUUUCUUCAUACUGGACCAGAAUGUGAACGAGUAAAGUUGGCCUCGCGGAGAGAGAGUGCCUCCGCGAUUACUGAUGUCAAAUAAUAGAUAGAUUCACUUCUGCAGGUUAAAGGUUGUACUUUAUGACAAAUUACAUCAAUUAAAGGGAUAGUUUUCUGUGUUGUUUACUCCAAUCAACCUGGAAAACUAUCCCUUUAAAUAUUUACAUACUGUAGAUUUUUUUAUAAGAGAACACAUACGGAUUAUCUUGAGUACACAACGUAAAAUAUAUUUGUCUUUAUUAGGAGAAUUGUGUCUCUGUUGAAAUUGAGAGGACGUCUGGUUUGCGUACCACAAAACAUGAAUUUGAAAAACCUGUCAGUUUAGAAGAGGUUAGUAACAGGUGAGGAAAACGUUUUGAAAAAAACCAAAGCUGUAAAAGUUAUGUGACUCACUGAGAUAUGACUGAACUAUUUUCCGUUGAAUAUUAUGAUAGUAUACACAGCUACUUCAAUAUCAGGCAGGGAUACUCGAUGUUGCGUACAUGAGUGAGACCAUAGAAUUAGAAUGACCUGCGGUUAUUUUUAUUUUGGCUUAUUAGUUAUUCUCUUUCUAUAAUCCUGUAAUCAGAUUUAUCCUCGUGUACCAUUAUAGAGGGAUAUUAUUUAAGCUGGAUGUUUUUGCACUAUAGUCCUUUGAAUGCCAUGUCAGUAAAUGUUCAGUAGUGGAUUUCAAAUGUUAAGACAGAUAGGCAUACUAUCUUGAUCACAUUUUGUUUUUACUUUACCUUUAAGAAAUACUAUGCAUAUUAAAAACAUGCAUCAAUAAAAGCUGGGAUAACGAACCUACAACACGCAGUAUAUCAAACCCAUUAAGAAAGUUAAGGCAGACGUCUUACAACACGUAAUUCCU